rfam:Planktothrix tepida PCC 9214 isolate BBR_PRJEB10993 genome assembly, scaffold: BBR_B_PL9214_scaffold136
AAAAUGGAGAGUUUGAUCCUGGCUCAGGAUGAACGCUGGCGGUCUGCUUAACACAUGCAAGUCGAAC